rnacentral:rRNA from 1 species
UACAGAGGGUGCGAGCGUUGUUCGGGAUUAUUGGGCGUAAAGCGCGCGCAGGCGGCCUUUUAAGUCUGAUGUGAAAGCCCACGGCUCAACCGUGGAAGGUCAUUGGAAACUGAAAGGCUUGAGUACAGAAGAGGAAAGCGGAAUUCCACGUGUAGCGGUGAAAUGCGUAGAGAUGUGGAGGAACACCAGUGGCGAAGGCGGCUUUCUGGUCUGUAACUGACGCUGAGGCGCGAAAGCGUGGGGAGCAAACAGG